GACGAACGCUGGGGGCGUGCUUAACACAUGCAAGUCGAACGGAAAGGCCCCUUUGGGGGUACUCGAGUGGCGAACGGGUGAGUAACACGUGAGUAACCUGCCCUUGACUUCGGGAUAACUUCAGGAAACUGGGGCUAAUACCGGAUAGGAAUCCUUGCUGCAUGGUGGGGGUUGGAAAGCUUCGGCGGUUUUGGAUGGACUCGCGGCUUAUCAGCUUGUUGGUGGGGUAGUGGCUUACCAAGGCUUUGACGGGUAGCCGGCCUGAGAGGGCGACCGGCCACAUUGGGACUGAGAUACGGCCCAGACUCCUACGGGAGGCAGCGGUGGGGAAUAUUGCACAAUGGGCGGAAGCCUGAUGCAGCAACGCCGCGUGCGGGAUGACGGCCUUCGGGUUGUAAACCGCUUUCAGCAGGGGCGAAGCUUGUGGUGACGGUACCUGCAGAAGAAGCACCGGCUAACUACGUG
rnacentral:rRNA from 1 species